UCUGGUGAUGAUGUUCUUUAGGGUAACACCCGUUCCCAUUCCGAACACGACGGUUAAGCCUUUAGAAGCCGAUGGUACUGCACGGGAGACUGUGUGGGAGAGUAGGUGGUCGCGCCAGGU
rnacentral:rRNA from 1 species